GACGAACGCUGGCGGCGUGCCUAAUACAUGCAAGUCGAACGCUGAAGGAGGAGCUUGCUCUUCUGGAUGAUUUGCGAACGGGUGAGUAACGCGUAGGUAACCUGCCUGGUAGCGGGGGAUAACUAUUGGAAACGAUAGCUAAUAUCGCAUAGUAGUAGAUGUUGCAUGAUAUUUACUUAAAAGGUGCAGUUUUACCGCUACCAGAUGGACCUGCGUUGUAUUAGCUAGUUGGUGGGGUAACGGCUCACCAAGGCGACGAUACAUAGCCGGCCUGAGAGGGGGAUCCGCCCAAAUGGGAAUGAGACAACGCCCAGAAUUCCUCGGGAGGGAGCAGUAGGGGAACUUCGGGCAAGGACGAAAGUCUUACCGAGGCAAGGCGCGGGAGUGAAUAAGGGUCUCGGAUCGGAAAGCUCUGUUGUUAGGGAAGAAAGAGUGUGAGAGUGGAAAGUUCACACUGUGACGGUACCUAAUCAGAAAGGGACGGCUAACUACGUG
rnacentral:rRNA from 1 species